GCCGAAGUAGCUCAGUUGGUAGAGCAGCUCCCCCAUAAAGAGCAUGUCCUGAGUUCGAGUCUCAGCUUCGGCACCA
rnacentral:tRNA from 1 species